UCCCUGGUGGUCUAGUGGCUAGGAUUCAGUGCUUUCACCGCUAUGGCCCAGGUUUGAUUCCUGGUCAGGGAA